CACGUAGGGUGCGAGCGUUGUCCGGAAUUAUUGGGCGUAAAGAGCUCGUAGGCGGUGUGUCGCGUCGGCCGUGAAAACCUGCAGCUUAACUGUGGGCUUGCGGUCGAUACGGGCAUCACUGGAGUUCGGCAGGGGAGACUGGAAUUCCUGGUGUAGCGGUGGAAUGCGCAGAUAUCAGGAGGAACACCGGUGGCGAAGGCGGGUCUCUGGGCAGUAACUGACGCUGAGGAGCGAAAAGCGUGGGGAGCGAACAGG
rnacentral:rRNA from 1 species